rnacentral:rRNA from 1 species
AUGGUGCCAUCCGUCUCCAUCCGCCAGGAAAGGGGCAAGCCCCCGGCCGACGUAAGGGACCUCUUGUCUCGGCGUCGAAGGUGCAGCAGCGUUACGACACUUCAAGCCGGCCACGUCGCCCUAGCCCGCUUAGUCGAUCCUCUACUGUCAUCAAGCACAAGAACAAGAGCAAGGCUAUAUUGGCUUGUGGUACAAGUUCAAGCAACCAAGUAG